GAUGAACGCUGGCGGCGUGCCUAAUACAUGCAAGUCGAGCGAACAGACGAGGAGCUUGCUCCUCUGACGUUAGCGGCGGACGGGUGAGUAACACGUGGAUAACCUACCUAUAAGACUGGGAUAACUUCGGGAAACCGGGGCUAAUACCGGAUAACAUGUUGAACCGCAUGGUUCAACAGUGAAAGACGGUCUUGCUGUCACUUAUAGAUGGAUCCGCGCCGCAUUAGCUAGUUGGUAAGGUAACGGCUUACCAAGGCAACGAUGCGUAGCCGACCUGAGAGGGUGAUCGGCCACACUGGAACUGAGACACGGUCCAGACUCCUACGGGAGGCAGCAGUAGGGAAUCUUCCGCAAUGGGCGAAAGCCUGACGGAGCAACGCCGCGUGAGUGAAGAAGGUCUUCGGAUCGUAAAACUCUGUUAUUAGGGAAGAACAAAUGUGUAUGUAACUAUGCACGUCUUGACGGUACCUAAUCAGAAAGCCACGGCUAACUACGUG
rnacentral:rRNA from 1 species